UGGACAUCCUCCGGCUUCCAUGGAACUUUCUAGGUUUCGUUCUUUGGAGCUUUCGCUGCUGUCGUCACUUGAUGGCAUCGGCAUGGCGUUGACGACCACUAGACUUAUGCAGCACGACACGAGCAAUAGCUGCGACAGUCCACUAAUAGACUGGCCCACUGGCCAUAAAGUAGGACGAGUCGCUCAAGGCACUUAGGUAAAUACCCUUGAAAGUAAAAACCUACCGCACAGCUUCUUAUUGAUGUCAGCACUGCUUUCAACCAUCAUGAGCGCCUCUUCCGGCUCUGCCGCCGCAUCUUCUUGCUCAGGUUAAUUCCUCCCUUGAUUGGUCUGGAGCAUCAAGUGAUGUCGAGGGGAAUUUUCUUAUCAAGGUGCUACAAGGUACGACAUCUUCUUUUACCUUCCAUUCUUCCUUUCACUUUCUGUCCACCGUCCUUGUUUGUAUUUAUAUGAACGUCAAUAUCUUCACGAGGGCGUCACCUAGUGGUGCAUUUAUCGCCUGAGUAAUCACGCUGCGUACCGCUGCCGACGCCUAUGGAGAAGAAAAACAAACGAAGUAUUGAACGUAUUUUCCUGUUUGCGGCUAGGUUACGAUUUAUAUUUUAGUCGAUUUUAGUAGAGCUGGACGGCUGGUACAGUACUACUCCAUAGCUGGAAUGGCGAGCUUUUGAAACCCCAAAUUAUUUUUAAAUUGUAAUUUGUUAGUGUUUUUUUCGCAGGUUGACGUUAUAUCCACUGUUUUUAAUUCUUUUAUUGUUGUAAAGUUAAGUGGAUUCAGUAUUUAUAAGGCAGGCGUUGUGGAUCGUGACUUUGGCAUUUUGCUUUAUCAUUAGCACCAUGCGCAUCACAAAUUCUUGUCCAUUCGCCUCCUGAACUUCUUGACGUCGAUGAGCUGGAUGAGCUGGAUGAGAACCUUUGGGCGAGGGAAUUCACAAUUUUUUUCUACAAACAAAAAGUUGUUACAGCUCAGCACUCAGGGUCGGUAAUAAUAUGGAAAGGAUUUGAUCCGUCGGGAUUAAAUCUUGAGAAAGGAAACUUUUACACAAACCUUUACCGUUGUCGAGAAACGUACUGCAGGAAAUAUGUGCUGUCAGAGCAAUCUUACGACGUAGACUGAUGGUGGUAAAAAAGCGCUAAUCAUUGCGGUGAUGCAAUCUGCCGACCGAAGGCGGGGGUGCUAUAAUGACUUUGAGUUUUGCCUUUUAUUUACGCAAGGCUUUUGGCUGUGCAGCUCAGUUGACAAGUUUAAGCUCAAAAGUGACGUCCGGGCGCCAUUCAUUAACAGGAGGAAACGUCUAGGAGUAGUGCAGCCUACUGUCAACUAUUUUGUUCAAAAUCAUUGUAUAUUUUACUGAAUGUGCCAUUGAAAUGAUACAGGAUUCAUCAUAAUUGUCCGCUGUUUGUAUUGGACUUGCAAGAUUACCUACCCCAGCAUGGAUCAAUCGCUCAUUCCAUCUUCUAGAGAACCUUGGAUAACUGAUUGAUGGUUUCAUGUGUUCUAAACUGCUGGUUUCUAAAUUUGCAUGGCAGAUUUUAUGAAAAGUCCUGUCAUUUCAAGAAAAGUCAACAAGGUCUGUUGUUUGCUGACCUGUUGGCUGCUACCUUGAAUCCUCCUUGUUGACUUCUUUACACAGGCCCUCCUGAUUUGAGGGUAAUCCUUCGCUACUGAUCAUGGACUUCAUCCAUUGGUGACAACCGACGAGAGAAUACUGUAAUUGAAGACAGAUCAAUUGUUUAGUUAGAUCAAAUUACAAGUGCAUAUCUGGGCUCCCUUCUUUUCUGUGGCCCCGUUUCCCUAACUAACCACUAACCAACGCCCGCCGGUGGUCACUCACCCGCUGUGAACCCAGGAGGAGGGGAGGGCUCUGGUCG